rnacentral:rRNA from 1 species
GACGAACGCUGGCGGCGUGCUUAACACAUGCAAGUCGAACGGAAAGGCCCCUUCGGGGGUACUCGAGUGGCGAACGGGUGCGUAACACGUGAGUAACCUGCCCUUGACUUCGGGAUAACUUCAGGAAACUGGGGCUAAUACCGGAUAGGAAUCCUUGCUGCAUGGUGGGGGUUGGAAAGCUUCGGCGGUUUUGGAUGGACUUGCGGCUUAUCAGCUUGUUGGUGGGGUAGUGGCUUACCAAGGCUUUGACGGGUAGCCGGCCUGAGAGGGCGACCGGCCACAUUGGGACUGAGAGACGGCCCAGACUCCUACGGGAGGCAGCAGUGGGGAAUAUUGCACAAUGGGCGGAAGCCUGAUGCAGCAACGCCGCGUGCGGGAUGACGGCCUUCGGGUUGUAAACCGCUUUCAGCAGGGGCGAAGCUUGUGGUGACGGUACCUGCAGAAGAAGCACCGGCUAACUACGUG